UACGGGGGGAGCAAGCGUUGUUCGGAUUUACUGGGCGUAAAGGGCGGGUAGGCGGCCACCGCAAGUCAGUUGUGAAAUCUCCGGGCUUAACCCGGAAAGGUCAACUGAUACUGCGGGGCUAGAGUGCAGAAGGGGCAACUGGAAUUCUCGGUGUAGCGGUGAAAUGCGUAGAUAUCGAGAGGAACACCUGCGGCGAAGGCGGGUUGCUGGGCCGACACUGACGCUGAUGCGCGAAAGCCAGGGGAGCGAACGGG
rnacentral:rRNA from 1 species